GCGGACAUGGCGGAAUUGGUAUACGCGCACGGUUCAGGACUGUGUGAUUUAUUCGUGCAGGUUCGAGUCCUGUUGUCCGCACCA
rnacentral:tRNA from 1 species